GGGAAAUAGGAAAGAGAAGGCGAAUUGAGACAUCCAAAAACAAAACUUCUGACACCAUUGGGGAACAAGCUAGAAAAUGGCGAAUUUAACAGGACACAAUACAUGAAUCAACAUUUGUAUGUACAAUUCUUGUAUGAUCGUUAAGUUGGCUGGAUCCUUUUGAGCCGCAUGUAUUCCAAAAACUGGGAAGGUAGUUCUGCUAAAAGUGCUUGAAGGACCGAGUCUCCACUUUGUACAUCCCGGAAGGGAACAAAUUGGACUAUGUCACGCACUGCAACACGCCCAUGUGUUGAUUCAAGUCUCUGUUUGUCAGCAUCUAAAAUCUCCAUUUCCUUGAAAUCAGCUCCUCCAACCCCAACAAUAAGAACUGACAAUGGCAAAUCCGCAGCAUGAACAAGGGCAUCCAUUGUUUCUUGGAGAUCUGUUAUCACUCCGUCCGUGAUUAUUAACAAAACGAAGUACUUCCGCUCGCGCUUCAUCAAAGACUGAUUUGCUAUAUCUGCAGCUGACGUAACAACUGGUCCAAAUAUAGUUGGUCCUGCAAGUGAAACAUUAAAAAGGGCACUCAUGUAUGCCGUCAUGAUACCCUGGAUUCCUUCCA
rnacentral:misc_RNA from 1 species